UACGUAGGGUGCGAGCGUUAAUCGGAAUUACUGGGCGUAAAGCGUGCGCAGGCGGUUCGUUAUGUCCGUUGUGAAAGCCCCGGGCUCAACCUGGGAAUGGCAAUGGAAACUGGCGGGCUAGAGUGUGGCAGAGGGGGGUGGAAUUCCGCGUGUAGCAGUGAAAUGCGUAGAGAUGCGGAGGAACACCGAUGGCGAAGGCGGCAUCCUGGACCGACAUUGACGCUGAGGAGCGAAAGCUAGGGGAGCAAACGGG
rnacentral:rRNA from 1 species